UGAGGAAUAUUGGUCAAUGGUCGGAAGACUGAACCAGCCAUGCCGCGUGCAGGAUGACUGCCCUAUGGGUUGUAAACUGCUUUUUUAAGGGAACAAUAAGUUGUACGUGUACAGCGAUGAGUGUACUUUAUGAAUAAGCACCGGCUAACUCCGUGCCAGCAGCCGCGGUAAUACGGAGGGUGCAAGCGUUAUCCGGAUUUAUUGGGUUUAAAGGGUGCGUAGGCGGUUUAGUAAGUCAGCGGUGAAAUUUUCCGGCUUAACCGGGAACUUGCCGUUGAUACUGCUGAGCUUGAAUAUGAAUGAAGUUGGAGGAAUGUGUGGUGUAGCGGUGAAAUGCAUAGAUAUCACACAGAAGACCGAUUGCGAAGGCAUCUGACUAAUUCAUUAUUGACGCUGAUGC
rnacentral:rRNA from 1 species